AGUGAACGCUGGCGGUAGGCCUAACACAUGCAAGUCGAACGGCAGCACAGUAAGAGCUUGCUCUUACGGGUGGCGAGUGGCGGACGGGUGAGGAAUACAUCGGAAUCUACUUUUUCGUGGGGGAUAACGUAGGGAAACUUACGCUAAUACCGCAUACGAUCUACGGGUGAAAGCAGGGGAUCUUCGGACCUUGCGCGAUUGAAUGAGCCGAUGUCGGAUUAGUUAGUUGGCGGGGUAAAGGCCCACCAUGGCGACGAUCCGUAGCUGGUCUGAGAGGAUGAUCAGCCACACUGGAACUGAGACACGGUCCAGAGUCCUACGGGAGGCAGCAGUGGGGGAUAUUGGACAAUGGGCGCAAGCCUGAUCCAGCCAUACCGCGUGGGGGAAGAAGGCCUUCGGGUUGGAAAGCCCUUUUGUUGGGAAAGAAAAGCAGCAGGUUAAUACCCCGCUGUUCUGACGGUACCCAAAGAAUAAGCACCGGCUAACUUCGUG
rnacentral:rRNA from 1 species